rnacentral:rRNA from 1 species
UACGGAGGGUGCAAGCGUUACUCGGAAUCACUGGGCGUAAAGAGCGCGUAGGCGGGAUAGCAAGUCAGAUGUGAAAACCCGGGGCCCAACCCCGGGAGUGCAUUUGAAACUGCCAUGCUGGAGUGCCGGAGAGGUAAGCGGAAUUCCUAGUGUAGCGGUGAAAUGCGUAGAUAUUAGGAGGAACACCAGUGGCGGAGGCGGCUUACUGGACGGUAACUGACGCUGAGGCUCGAAAGCGUGGGGAGCAAACAGG